GAAGCGGCCACACCCGGCUGGCAACAUCCAGCUCCACUCCGAACCUGGAAAUUAAGCAGUCGCGGGCCACAUCAGUACUGGGCUGGGCGACUUCCCGGGAACGUGCGGUGCUUGCUUCUUUUUCCUUUUUGCGCGGUGCAGGGCUAUUGCCCUGCACCAAUACUACACUCUACACCUAUGUUUGUCCCUGCUAAAACUCUUAUAUGUUAGAUAUUUUAUAAUUUUAUAUUUUUUAUUAAAAAAUGAAAAUUUUUCAUAAGCGAGACUCCCUCCGCUGGAGGAAAUUGAGAGUGGUAAUGGUAGUGUGAAUAGUGUGUGACGAACAAUCCUUUC
rnacentral:rRNA from 1 species